rnacentral:rRNA from 1 species
GGGGGGUGCGAGCGUUGUCCGGAAUCACUGGGCGUAAAGGGCGCGUAGGUGGCCUGAUAAGGGUGUGGUGAAAGUCCGGGGCUCAACCCCGGAUCGGCCGUGCCGACUGUUGGGCUAGAGUACUGUAGGGGCAGGCGGAAUUCCGGGUGUAGCGGUGGAAUGCGUAGAGAUCCGGAGGAAGACCGGUGGCGAAGGCGGCCUGCUGGGCAGUUACUGACACUGAGGCGCGACAGCGUGGGGAGCAAACAGGAUUAGAUACCCUGGUAGUCCACGCCGUAAACGAUGGGUACUAGGUGCCUGGGGGAGCGACCCCUUGGGUGCCGGCGCUAACGCAGGAAGUACCCCGCCUGGGGAGUACGGCCGCAAGGCUG